CACAAGCGGUGGAGCAUGUGGUUUAAUUCGAUAUACGCGAGGAACCUUACCAGGGCUUNAAUGUAAGUUGCAUGAUUUAGAGAUAGAUCUUUCUUCGGACUACUUACAAGGUGCUGCAUGGUUGUCGUCAGCUCGUGCCGUGAGGUGUCAGGUUAAGUCCUAUAACGAGCGCAACCCCUGUCGUUAGUUGCCAGCAAGUUAAGUUGGGCACUCUAGCGAGACUGCCAGUGCAAACUGUGAGGAAGGCUGGGAUGACGUCAAAUCAUCACGGCCCUUACGUCCUGGGCUACACACGUGCUACAAUGGUCGGUACAGAGAGCAGCCACUACGCGAGUAGGAGCGAAUCUAUAAAACCGAUCUCAGUUCGGAUCGCAGUCUGCAACUCGACUG
rnacentral:rRNA from 1 species